rnacentral:rRNA from 1 species
CGAGGGAUUCUUNUCUUGUAAUUGGAUGAUGGGAAUCUAAACCCCUUCCAGAGUAUCAAUUGGAGGGCAAGUCUGGUGCCAGCAGCCGCGGUAAUUCCAGCUCCAAUAGCGUAUAUUAAACUUGUUGCAGUUAAAAAGCUCGUAGUUGAAUUUCUGCUGUUUCGUUGACUGCGCUUGGCGUUUGUCAUCGUUGCGGCUUGGUUGGGUUUCGAUUAUUCGUUUCCCGGCGUUUACUUUGAGAAAAUUAGAGUGCUUGAAGCAGGCUUUUGCCUUGAAUACUUUAGCAUGGAAUAACGGAGUAGGACUUUGGUUCUAUUUUGUUGGUUUUAGGAGCCAGAGUAAUGGUUAAUAGGAACAGUUGGGGGCAUCCGUAUUUGACUGUCAGAGGUGAAAUUCUUA